AACUUGCCUUACAGACUGGGACAACAUUUGGAAACGAAUGCUAAUACCGGAUAUUAUGCACUGAGUCGCAUGAUUUGGUUAUGAAAGCUAUAUGCGCUGUGAGAGAGCUUUGCGUCCCAUUAGUUAGUUGGUGAGGUAACGGCUCACCAAGACGAUGAUGGGUAGCCGGCCUGAGAGGGUGAACGGCCACAAGGGGACUGAGACACGGCCCUUACUCCUACGGGAGGCAGCAGUGGGGAAUAUUGGACAAUGGACCAAAAGUCUGAUCCAGCAAUUCUGUGUGCACGAUGAAGUUUUUCGGAAUGUAAAGUGCUUUCAGUUGGGAAGAAGUCAGUGACGGUACCAACAGAAGAAGCGACGGCUAAAUACGUGCCAGCAGCCGCGGUAAUACGUAUGUCGCAAGCGUUAUCCGGAUUUAUUGGGCGUAAAGCGCGUCUAGGCGGUUUAGUAAGUCUGAUGUGAAAAUGCGGGGCUCAACCCCGUAUUGCGUUGGAAACUGCUAAACUAGAGUACUGGAGAGGUAGGCGGAACUACAAGUGUAGAGGUGAAAUUCGUAGAUAUUUGUAGGAAUGCCGAUGGGGAAGCCAGCCUACUGGACAGAUACUGACGCUAAAGCGCGAAAGCGUGGGUAGCAAACAGGAUUAGAUACCCUGGUAGUCCACGCCGUAAACGAUGAUUACUAGGUGUUGGGGGUCGAACCUCAGCGCCCAAGCUAACGCGAUAAGUAAUCCGCCUGGGGAGUACGUACGCA
rnacentral:rRNA from 1 species